rnacentral:rRNA from 1 species
GUGCCAGCCGCCGCGGUAAUACGGAGGGUGCAAGCGUUGUCCGGAAUUAUUGGGCGUAAAGCGCGCGCAGGCGGUUCCUUAAGUCUGAUGUGAAAGGCCACAGCUCAACUGUGGAGGGCCAUUGGAAACUGGGGAACUUGAGGACAGAAGAGGAGAGCGGAAUUCCACGUGUAGCGGUGAAAUGCGUAGAUAUGUGGAGGAACACCAGUGGCGAAGGCGGCUCUCUGGUCUGUAACUGACACUGAGGCGCGAAAGCAUGGGUAGCGAACAGGAUUAGAAACCCUAGUAGUCC